CUGCAAUAGAAUUGAAAACUGCAGCCCCUUCACUGGAGAAUGUGCAGAGAAUUUACAGUGUUCUCAGGAAAACGUGGCACAGCAAUGCCAAAAAGGAGUGAUCAAUAUGAAAUGCCCAGAGGACCCUGGGUGGUGGUACUGGAAUGGCAGCUGUUAUUAUAUGGAAGAAACUAAUAGUUUGACCUGGCUGGAAGCUAAGAAUUACUGCACUGCAUAUAAUGGCACUGACCUACUAUUGCUGGAUAGUGCAGAAGAAAAGGCCUGGGUAACCUCUGUGUUACAGAAACCUGUUUGGAUUUUCUCGUUGGGUGCCUUGCAAAGUGAUGUGGAGAAAUCAAGCAGGAAGAAUCAACGUGUCAUGUAAGGCGACCGUGCUGAUUUCAUAAACAUGGGGGUUAAACAGACUACACAUCUAAUGGGCUUUUUAAAACACUUUUCACCCCAAGCGCCAGAUCCGUAGCUGAUGUAAAUUGUCAUAACUCCAUUG
rnacentral:lncRNA from 1 species